GACGAACCGUGCAAACGUUGUUCGGAAUCACUGGGCUUAAAGGGCGCGUAGGCGGGUUCCCAAGUCAGGGGUGAAAUCUUUCGGCUUAACCGGAAAAGUGCCCCUGAUACUGGGAGUCUUGAGGGAGGUAGGGGUCUGUGGAACUCUCGGUGGAGCGGUGAAAUGCGUAGAUAUCGGGAGGAACGCCGGUGGCGAAAGCGACGGACUGGACCUUCUCUGACGCUGAGGCGCGAAAGCUAGGGGAGCAAACGGG
rnacentral:rRNA from 1 species